AUGGCAGGCAGCAGGAACAUAGAAAAGCAAUAAAGAGAAGAACUGAAAGAACUGACAGAAUACAGAAAUAAUCUCAAGAAGGUUGGAAUUUCUUCAGAAAACAAGAAGGAAGUGGAGAAGAAAGUGGCUGUGAAACCCAUAGAAACCAAGAACAAGUUCUCCCAGGCAAAGCUGUUGGCAGGAGCUGUGAAGCAUAAGAGCUCAGAGAGUGGCAACAGUGUGAAAGACUGAAACCGGCCCCUGACCCAGAUGACAAGAAUCAAGAGGCCUCGUCCUGCAAGUCUCUUGGGAACACUUCCCUGAGCGGCCCCUCCAUCCACUGCCCCUUGGCCGCAGUCUGCAUUGGCAUCCUCCCAGGCUUGGGUGCCUACUCUGGGAGCAGCGACUCUGAAUCCAGCUCAGACAGUGAAGACACCAUCAACGCCACUGGGAAGAUCGUCUCCUCCAUCUUCCGAACCAACACCUUCCUCGAGGCUCCCUAGCUCCUCUGUCCUCCCCAGAAAGAGCUGCUCCCCAAGGGUAGAUCGGACCAUUCAUUCUGCCUCCAGGCAUCGUAUCUCUCAAAAAACUCCUUUGCCUGCUUCCUGUGUACUGUGACAUUUUUACCCUAAUCUAAAAAUGUGCC